ACUCCUCUUACAUCGUUGUUGCCUGGUGGCUGCUGGAGGUGUUGCAAGAGGAGUAUCUGAGCACCGUUUAUCAGAGGACGCAGCCUGCAGGCUAGACCAGCGGGUUCAAGAGCUCAGAGGACAGAACCUUGAGCAGAUAAGAGGGCAUGGCAGUGAAACCGAGAGGAAGAGGCUUGAGAGAUGCGGACAGUUCCGAAUGGAAGGCUGACAUCACUGAGAGCAAGGACAUGAUGAACAGAAAUCAGGUCCCAUAUCCAGAUCACUUUGAAGCGAAGUCCAAGCAUUGUAUCACUUCAUCUGUAAGUGUUUCAGUACAUACCUAAAAGGCAUGUGUGGCCACUCGCACCCCAGGAUCACCUCAGUUCAAUUUUGGAAAUUGGAAUUGUCUGAAGGUUAACUUUAGUUCCUAUGAGGCCCUGUUUACUUUUGAUCCAUCCUAAUUCUUAAGAUGCAGUUCUUCAGCAAUGCAAUCAAUAAAAAGGAGAUUCACUGGAAUCCAUACCCAUUGGUCACCAAGAAUUUGAAUCUCUCUUCUUAGCACUGCAUACUGUCAAAAAUAGUCCAAUCUCAACAUUCUGAUUGUUUAUUAAGUAUAUCUUGCCAUGGCUUUGUUGCUUAUUAUUGUAUACUUCACAUAUAAGUCUGUAAAACAUUUUUUCUCAAUUAUGACACAAACAUAUUAAUUUGUGAUUUUUUUUGUCUGCAUAAU